rnacentral:rRNA from 1 species
AUUGAACGCUGGCGGCAGGCCUAACACAUGCAAGUCGAACGGUAACAGGAAACAGCUUGCUGUUUCGCUGACGAGUGGCGGACGGGUGAGUAAUGUCUGGGAAACUGCCUGAUGGAGGGGGAUAACUACUGGAAACGGUAGCUAAUACCGCAUAACGUCGCAAGACCAAAGAGGGGGACCUUCGGGCCUCUUGCCAUCGGAUGUGCCCAGAUGGGAGUAGCUAGUAGGUGGGGUAACGGCUCACCUAGGCGACGAUCCCUAGCUGGUCUGAGAGGAUGACCAGCCACACUGGAACUGAGACACGGUCCAGACUCCUACGGGAGGCAGCAGUGGGGAAUAUUGCACAAUGGGCGCAAGCCUGAUGCAGCCAUGCCGCGUGUAUGAAGAAGGCCUUCGGGUUGUAAAGUACUUUCAGCGGGGAGGAAGAGAGUAAAGUUAAUACCUUUGCUCAUUGGCGUUACCCGCAGAAGAAGCACCGGCUAACUCCGUGCCAGCCGCCGCAGUAA